AUGGGAGGACACCCCAGAGGACUCCCAGAGAGGGUGAAGAGAAACACAAGAGAGAGGCCGAAGCCGGCUGGGGUGGAGGAGGAGCCUGAUGUGCAAGGAGCAGACCUGCUGAAGCAGAAGGCUGGAGGCAAUUCAUUUCCUACUGAAAGGGGACCAACUUGCACUUCAGUUCUGAAGGAUGACUGUGCUAGGAAAGAGGAGACGAAAACAAACCUUUCAGCAAAUGUUGCAGCUGAAAGCAACUGGGAAAAAGUGGCUCCAGAGAACUCGGGCCUUCAAGAAGGCACACAUAAGCUGUGCCACAACACUGCAUGUGCACUGAUAGGCCAAGGCCAGCUGAACCAGGCCAUAAAAAUUCUGCAAAAAGCUGAAGACCUUUGCUGCACUGCUCAUUAUCAGAAGACGCUGAGGGGACUGAGGAAGACCCACAGGCAGAACUGGCCAUCAUUUAUGGUCAGAUGACUUAUAUUCUGCAGCUUCAGGGUCGAACAGAGGAGGCCUUGCAACUUUAUAAUCAAAUAAUAAAACUAAAACCAACAGAUGUGGGAUUACUAGCUGUAGUUGCAAACAACAUCAUUACCAUUAACAAGGAUUAAAAUGUCUUUAACUCCAAGAAAAAAAUGAAAUUAACCAAUGUGGAAGGAGUAGAGUUUAAGCUUUCCAAGAAACAACUACAUGCUAUAGAAUUUAACAAAGCUUUACUUGCUAUGAACACAAACCAGGCAGAACAAUGCUGCAAAAUAUCUGCCAGUUUACAGUCCCAAAGUCUGGAGCAUCUCUUACCUGUGUUAAUUCAAGCUGCCCAGUAUUAUUGUGAAAAGCAGCACACAAAAGCAAUAGAGCUGCUCCAGGAAUUUUCAGAUCAACGUCCAGAAAAUGCAGCUGAAAUUAAGCUGACCAUGGCACGGCUGAAAAUUUCUCAAGGUAGUAUUUCUAAAGCAUGUCUAAUAUUGAGAAGCACAGAGGAGUUAAAGCAUGAGCCAGGCAUCGUGUCUGUACUAGUGACCAUGUAUAGCAUGAAGAAGAUAUUGAUAGUGCCACUGAGGUCUUCUCAUAAGCUAUCCAGUGGUAUCAAAACCAUCAGCCCAAAUCUCCUGCUCAUUUGUCCUUGGUAAGAGAAGCUGCAAACUUCAAACUCAAAUAUGGGUGGAAGAGGGAGGCAAUUAGUGACCUAGAACAGCUAUGGAAACAAAAUCCAAAAGAUAUUCACACCUUGGCACAGCUUAUUUCUGCUUACUCACUUGUAGAUCCAGAGAAAGCCAAAGCUCCUAGUAAACACUCGCCAUUGUCAGACAGUACGUCUCUAAAAGCAGAUGCUGAAGCUCUUGAAAAUUCUCCUGGUGCUACGUACAUCCUGAAGAAGGGUGGAAAAGUUACUGGAGAUAGACAACCAAAGGAACAAGAACUGGGAGAUCUGAAAAAGAAUGGAAAACUGCCUAAGAAUUAUGACCCAGAAGUUACCCCAGAUCCAGAAAGAUGAUUGCCAACAUGAGAACGUUCUUUCUACUGGGAAAGAAAGACGGGUAAAAGGAAGGAUCCGAUUGGAAAAGGGACCCAGGGAGUAACUGCAGGAGCUUCAUCUGAACUGGAUGCCAGUAAAACUGUGAGCAGCCCACUCAUCGCCCCCAAGACCUGGCAGCGCAGCCACAGUAUCUGCCUCUAUGAGUAACAUCAUACCCCAAGACACCAGAAACCUGCAGGGGCUCCAGCAACAAAAAAGAAACAGCAAUAAAAAAAGAAGAAAGGUGGAAAAGAUAGCUGGUGAUGAGAAUAUUUUUGUUGCGGGCUGUUUUUAAACUAGUCUCAGUGACACUAGGAACAUAACAAAGGUAACACAGCAAGUAGCACAGAACUGCUCCCUCUUCAUCUCCAUAUUUUCAUAAAUAAUUUCUUGUGUUUCAAAUAGGGAAACAUCUUUCUCAAAGUCUGCCUAGUGAGAUAUGGCCUACUGGUUGACUCACAGCUUUGUACAGAUUAUGGGAACUGAAAAUAAUUGGGCAUUUACCCAUCUUGGUAUCUGUUGUAUCCUCUAUCUGCAUGUGCUGAUUUGAUCUUUUUUCAGUUUCACAAACCUUAUCUAAGGGUUCCCAGGAUUUAAACAGAAA